rnacentral:rRNA from 1 species
AUUGAACGCUGGCGGAAUGCUUUACACAUGCAAGUCGAACGGCAGCACGGGUGCUUGCACCUGGUGGCGAGUGGCGAACGGGUGAGUAACAUAUCGGAACGUGCCCAGUAAUGGGGGAUAACUAACCGAAAGGUUAGCUAAUACCGCAUACGCCCGGAGGGGGAAAGCGGGGGAUCGAAAGACCUCGCGGUAUUGGAGCGGCCGAUAUCUGAUUAGCUAGUUGGUAGGGUAAAGGCCUACCAAGGCGACGAUCAGUAGCUGGUCUGAGAGGAUGAUCAGCCACACUGGGACUGAGACACGGCCCAGACUCCUACGGGAGGCAGCAGUGGGGAAUUUUGGACAAUGGGCGAAAGCCUGAUCCAGCCAUUCCGCGUGAGUGAAGAAGGCCUUCGGGUUGUAAAGCUCUUUCGGCAGGAACGAAACGCUCUAGAUUAAUACUCUGGGGUAAUGACGGUACCUGAAGAAGAAGCACCGGCUAACUACGUGCCAGCCGCCGCCGUAA